rnacentral:rRNA from 1 species
CCCUUAGAUGUCCUGGGCUGCACGCGCGCUACACUGAUGUGUCCAGUAAGCACCUAACCUCUUCCGAAAGGAACGGGUAACCUUUGCAAAGCACAUCGUGAUGGGGAUAGAUUAUUGCAAUUAUAGUCUUGAACGAGGAAUUCCUAGUAAGCACAAGUCAUCAGCUUGUGUUGAUUACGUCCCUGCCCUUUGUACACACCGCCCGUCGCUCCUACCGAUUGAAUGUUCCGGUGAGCUCUUCGGACUGCGCGGUCUGCAGUUUCUGCGUUCCGUGCGGAAAGUUGCGCAAACCUUAACAUUUAGAGGAAGGAGAAGUCGUAACA